rnacentral:rRNA from 1 species
AUUGAACGCUGGCGGCAGGCCUAACACAUGCAAGUCGAACGAGUGGCGGACGGGUGAGUAAUGUCUGGGAAACUGCCUGAUGGAGGGGGAUAACUACUGGAACCGGUAGCUAAUACCGCAUACCAUCAGAUGUGCCCAGAUGGGAUUAGCUAGUAGGUGAGGUAACGGCUCACCUAGGCGACGCUCCCUAGCUGGUCUGAGAGGAUGACCAGCCACACUGGAACUGAGACACGUUCCAGCCUCCUACGGGAGGCAGCAGUGGGGAAUAUUGCGCAAUGGGCGGAAGCCUGAUGCAGCCAUGCCGCGUGUAUGUAGAAGGCCUUCGGGUUGUAAAGUACUUUCAGCGGGGAGGCGUUACCCGCAGAAGAAGCACCGGCUAACUCCGUGCCAGCAGCCGCGGUAAUAC